GACGAACGCUGGCGGCGUGCUUAACACAUGCAAGUCGUACGGUAAGGCCCUUUCGGGGGUACACGAGUGGCGAACGGGUGAGUAACACGUGAGUAACCUGCCCACAACUUUGGGAUAACGCUAGGAAACUGGUGCUAAUACUGGAUAUGUGCUCCUGCUGCAUGGUGGGGGUUGGAAAGCUCCGGCGGUUGUGGAUGGACUCGCGGCCUAUCAGCUUGUUGGUGGGGUAGUGGCCUACCAAGGCGGCGACGGGUAGCCGGCCUGAGAGGGUGACCGGCCACAUUGGGACUGAGAUACGGCCCAGACUCCUACGUGAGGCAGCAGUGGGGAAUAUUGCACAAUGGGCGCAAGCCUGAUGCAGCAACGCCGCGUGCGGGAUGGCGGCCUUCGGGUUGUAAACCGCUUUCAGCAGGGACGAAGCUUUUUGUGACGGUACCUGCAGAAGAAGCACCGGCUAACUACGUG
rnacentral:rRNA from 1 species